GGAUCGAUAGCUCAGUGGUAGAGCGUGGGACUGCAAAUCCUGAGGUCGUGGGAUCAACCCCCACUCGGUCCU